UGAUUGAUGGAGCAGCAGAUGCAGUUACUAACAUUUCUUCUGAAAAGCCAGUGACUGUGCCAUGAGAAAAUGAAGCACGUCAGCCCAGGCUCUCCAAAAGCUGGUUUUCUCCUGUUCUCAGCAGAUGAUUCCAGCACUAAAGCCGAGAUGUAA
rnacentral:lncRNA from 1 species